UACAGAGGGUGCGAGCGUUAAUCGGAAUUACUGGGCGUAAAGCGUGCGUAGACGGUUAUUUAAGUCGGGUGUGAAAGCCCCGGGCUCAACCUGGGAAUUGCAUUCGAGACUGAAUAGCUAGGGUACGGUAGAGGGAAGUGGAGUUUCCGGUGUAGCGGUGAAAUGCGUAGAUAUCGGAAGGAACAUCAGUGGCGAAAGCGACUUCCUGGACCAGUACCGACGUUCAGGCACGAAAGCGUGGGGAGCAAACAGG
rnacentral:rRNA from 1 species